rnacentral:rRNA from 1 species
GAUGAACGCUGGCGGCGUGCCUAAUACAUGCAAGUCGAGCGAACAGACGAGGAGCUUGCUCCUCUGACGUUAGCGGCGGACGGGUGAGUAACACGUGGAUAACCUACCUAUAAGACUGGGAUAACUUCGGGAAACCGGAGCUAAUACCGGAUAAUAUAUUGAACCGCAUGGUUCAAUAGUGAAAGACGGUUUUGCUGUCACUUAUAGAUGGAUCCGCGCCGCAUUAGCUAGUUGGUAAGGUAACGGCUUACCAAGGCAACGAUGCGUAGCCGACCUGAGAGGGUGAUCGGCCACACUGGAACUGAGAAACGGUCCAGACUCCUACGGGAGGCAGAAGUAGGGAAUCUUCCGCAAAGGGCGAAAGCCUGACGGAGCAACGCCGCGUGAGUGAUGAAGGUCUUCGGAUCGUAAAACUCUGUUAUUAGGGAAGAACAAAUGUGUAAGUAACUAUGCACGUCUUGACGGUACCUAAUCAGAAAGCCACGGCUAACUACGUG